rnacentral:rRNA from 1 species
CCUACGAGUGGCAGCAGUGAGGAAUAUUGGGCCAUGGGGGCAACUCUGACCCAGCCAUGCCGCGUGAGUGAAGAAGGUCUUCGGAUUGUAAAGUUCUUUCGGACGUGACGAUGAUGACGGUAGCGCCUAAAGAAGCACCGGCAAACUACGUGCCACCAGCCGCGGUAAUACGAAGGGUGCGAGCGUGGUUCGGAAUUACUGGGCGUAAAGGGAGUGUAGGCGGAUAUGUAAGAUAGCGGUGAAAUGCCGGGGCACAACCCCGGAACGACCAUUAAGACUAUGUAUCUAGAGUGAUGGAGGGGAUAGCGGAAUACCCAGUGUAGAGGUGGAAUGCGUAGAUAGUGGGUAGAACACCGGUGGCGAAGGCGGCUAUCUGGACAUUUACUGACGCUGAGGCUCGAAAGCAUGGGGAUCAAACAGGAUUAGAUACCCGAGUAGUC